rnacentral:lncRNA from 1 species
CAGCAUCGUGUUCUACUUCCCGCUCGACCUGUUCAAGUUCUUCAUCCGCUUCGUGCUCAGUGGCAGGGCCUGGGACAACCUCCUUGAGAACAAGGUACUGUACCGCUUCCUCUGUCAUUGGACGGGUAGAUAGACGUAGCUGUAAUUUCCAAAGCAAGUUUGCUGAUGGAUUUCUGAAUUCUGGUGCGCAGACGGCCUUCACCACCAAGAAGGAUUACGGCCGGGAGGAGAGGGAGGCGCAAUGGGCCACCGCCCAGAGGACACUCCACGGUCUCCAGCCGCCGGAGGCCGCCUCGAACACGCUGUUCAACGACAAGAGCAGCUACCGCGAGCUGUCCGAGAUCGCGGAGCAGGCCAAGAGACGAGCUGAGAUCGCGAGGCUGCGGGAGCUGAAC